AGCCGUACGGCGAGCACAGAGCGAACUAUUCUUUCGCUUUUUACUAAAGGAUACCGUGCGCCCGCCGUCUGAAGCGGCAUACGCCUAUUUUUGGAGAGGAUAUUCUGUCCAGAGGAU